UACGUAGGGUGCGAGCGUUAAUCGGAAUUACUGGGCGUAAAGCGUGCGCAGGCGGUGAUGUAAGACAGGUGUGAAAUCCCCGGGCUUAACCUGGGAACUGCAUUUGUGACUGCAUCGCUGGAGUGCGGCAGAGGGGGAUGGAAUUCCGCGUGUAGCAGUGAAAUGCGUAGAUAUGCGGAGGAACACCGAUGGCGAAGGCAAUCCCCUGGGCCUGUACUGACGCUCAUGCACGAAAAGCGUGGGGAGCAAACGGG
rnacentral:rRNA from 1 species